rnacentral:rRNA from 1 species
CAAGAUGAGAUUUCCCAACUUCGGUUAUAAGAUCCCUCGAAGAUGACGAGGUUAAUAGGUUCGAGGUGGAAGCGUGGUGACACGUGGAGCUGACGAAUACUAAUCGAUCGAAGACUUAAUCAAUUU